UGGUGGAGUGAUUUGUCUGGUUAAUUCCGUUAACGAACGAGACCUCGACCUGCUAAAUAGUACAGCGUAAGCCUUUCUGUGUUUAUGUGUGCACUUCUUAGAGGGACUGUCGGUGUUCUAGCCGAAGGAAGUUCGAGGCAAUAACA
rnacentral:rRNA from 1 species